rnacentral:rRNA from 1 species
GGUGAAAAGCACCCCGGAAGGGGAGUGAAAUAGAACCUGAAACCGUGUGCUUACAAGUAGUCAGAGCCCGUUAAUGGGUGAUGGCGUGCCUUUUGUAGAAUGAACCGGCGAGUUACGAUUUGAUGCAAGGUUAAGCAGUAAAUGUGGAGCCGUAGCGAAAGCGAGUCUGAAUAGGGCGUUUAGUAUUUGGUCGUAGACCCGAAACCAGGUGAUCUACCCUUGGUCAGGUUGAAGUUCAGGUAACACUGAAUGGAGGACCGAACCGACUUACGUUGAAAAGUGAGCGGAUGAACUGAGGGUAGCGGAGAAAUUCCAAUCGAACCUGGAGAUAGCUGGUUCUCUCCGAAAUAGCUUUAGGGCUAGCCUCAAGUGAUGAUUAUUGGAGGUAGAGCACUGUUUGGACGAGGGGCCCCUCUCGGGUUACCGAAUUCAGACAAACUCCGAAUGCCAAUUAAUUUAACUUGGGAGUCAGAACAUGGGUGAUAAGGUCCGUGUUCGAAAGGGAAACAGCCCAGACCACCAGCUAAGGUCCCAAAAUAUAUGUUAAGUGGAAAAGGAUGUGGCGUUGCCCAGACAACUAGGAUGUUGGCUUAGAAGCAGCCAUCAUUUAAAGAGUGCGUAAUAGCUCACUAGUCGAGUGACA